ensembl:lncRNA
CUCACUGUGAAGAAGAAGAGUUCCUGGACUCUUUAAACCAGCAUUUCCUGGACUGUGCUCAAUGGAACACCAGUUCUGAGAGAUUAUCUGUAAGAAAGGGAUUCUAGGGCCAGAGAUCUUUGGCAAGAUAGCAUACUGUAUGUGUAAAACAGCAGUUCUCAAAGUGUGCCUGGAGCAGCAUCAGCAACAUCACUUGGGAAAUGAGAAAAAUGCAGAUUCCCUGAUCCCACCUCUGACCUACAGAAUCAAAAACUCUAGAAGUGGGCCUCUGUAAGCUGUGUUUCAACCAGCCCUCCAGGGAGUCUGAACUUAAGAGAUCUAUGACCAUCAGCCAAUGAGCCAAUAUCAUACUCUCUUCCAAAGUUCGCGUAUGGAUAAAUAAUGAAAGACAGGAUCUGGACUAAAUAGAGGAAGCUACAAAGCUGAGCACAGAACUAUGACUAUUCAAACACAUUGAAGAUACAACAGAGAAUGAAUAGCAAUGAAAGACAGUCUUGACUUGCUGCCAAGAAAGAGAAGAGAUGAUGAACGGCCGAUUUGAGACAACUACCACUCAAAGGAUUUAUAAGAAGGAAAUGUUCUACAUUACCUCAAGAAGAACAGAACAUGAGUUCAUUACACCCAUUGCAUCUAUUAGAUAGGGCUAAACUCUCAGAUUUUGAAUGCUGUCUUUGAUAAGCAUAGCUAGCUGUACUGUUGUCAUAGCUCAAGACUCAAGUACUGAUUUAUGCCUUGACCCUAAGUAACAUUCUGAAAAUGCUACUAAAUUUGAGAUCCUGAUUUGGAAGUCAAGAAUUGUGUGAUGUAAACAUAAUUUUGAAGUCUAAAUACCAGUUAUUCUUGAAAACAAAACAAAACAAAAACACAGCUCCAAAGGCUGGCAAUUAAUCAUCAACAUCAACGUGUGUUUAUUAAGCCCUGCUUUGAGAGCUAUAAAAUAUAUAUUAGAACGUCUCUAUUUUAAGAAGCUCACAAACUUUCUGUAAUAAAGGUAAAGUUUAUUCUCUUCACGAACAGGGCUCCUUGCUAGUAUAUAUGCAUUGUUUAAAGCACAUUCUUCUAGGUUAUUUCAUUCUAUGGGGACUCUGAGUCUUUCAUUGCCUUUGAACUAUUUUACAACACUGUAAAUUGUAGAUAACCGAUAGCAGUACAAAAGAAUUCUCCUCUAUAGAUAUGCAAAUAAAUUCUGUCCAGUGGAAGUUCAAAGACUUCCCUCCUCCACUGUGGAAGCAGCCAGUUUUGUGUCCAUUUGCAAAUUCAUUUCAACAUUCCUGAUCUAUAAUCAUGUCUGUUCUUUGGAUACUCUUUUGAACUGGUUAUAAUAUCUUACCAGUUCUCUCAUUUAUCUAAUGAGUUAAGUAAAAUCUUUGACUUGUUCAUUUUAUAUUUGUUAAAAAAUUAUCCUUUAACAUGAACUUAGGCUUUACAGUUAGUCAGUCAUAGAUCCCAAUCUGAGUUUGACUAUUUACCAGCUCUGUAACAUUAGGUAAAACGUAACUUCUCUAUUAAUAAUACCUGCCUCCUUAAAUUGUUGUGGAAUUAUGUGACAAGUAUUCUGAAACUUAGACACUCAUUUUUGUUUGUUUGUUUUAUGAAUUAACAGAGCCAGUGUAUCGAAUGGCUACUGUGUAACAGCAAUAAAGCAGACCCAUUCAAUCAACAUACCCAGG